UGAAUACGAGAUACUACGGUAUUAAAGUAGUGUAUGUCAUACUUCCAAGAAAAGCUCGCAAUGUUAUAAAUAAAUAAUGCCUGUACCAUAACCGACACAGGUGGGUAGGUAGAGUAUACUAAGGGGCGCGAGAUAACUCUCUCUAAGGAACUCGGCAAAAUAACUCCGUAACUUCGGGAGAAGGGGUACCUUAUUUAUAAGGUUGCAAUAACAAGGUCCAAGCAACUGUUUACCAAAAACACAGGUCUCCGCUAAGUCGUAAGACGAUGUAUGGGGGCUGACGCCUGCCCAGUGCCAGAAGGUUAAAGAAAUUGGUUAGCAUUUGCGAAGCUAAUAACUGAAGCCCUGGUGAACGGCGGCCGUAACGAUAACGGUCCUAAGGUAGCGAAAUUCCUUGUCGGGUAAGUUCCGACCCGCACGAAAGGCGUAAUGAUUUGGAUACUGUCUCGGAGAGGGGCUCGGUGAAAUAGACUUGUCUGUGAAGAUGCGGACUACCUGCACCUGGACAGAAAGACCCUAUGAAGCUUUACUGUAACUUGAAAUUGGAAUCGGACUUUAUUUGCGCAGCAUAGGUGGAAGGCAUUGAGAAUAUUCUUGCGGGAGUAUUGGAGCCAUCAGUGAGAUACCACUCUUAUAAUGUUAGAUUUCUAACUUUGUAUCAUUAUCUGGUCAAAGAACAGUUUCAGGCGGGCAGUUUGACUGGGGCGGUCGCCUCCUAAAUGGUAACGGAGGCGUACAAAGGUUUCCUCUGAACGGGUAGAAAUCGUAUCUAGAGUAUAAAGGCAAAAGGAAGCUUGACUGUGAGACCUACAAGUCGAGCAGGGACGAAAGUCGGUCUUAGUGAUCUGACGGUGCUGAGUGGAAAGGCCGUCACUCAACGGAUAAAAGUUACUCUAGGGAUAACAGGCUGAUCUCCCCCAAGAGUUCACAUCGACGGGGAGGUUUGGCACCUCGAUGUCGGCUCAUCGCAUCCUGGGGCGGUAGUACGUCCCAAGGGUUGGGCUGUUCGCCCAUGAAAGCGGUACGCGAGCUGGGUUCAGAACGUCGUGAGACAGUUCGGUCCAUAUCCGGUGUAGGCGUUAGAAUAUUGAGAGGAGCCUUCUCUAGUACGAGAGGACCGAGAAGGACAUACCUCUGGUGUACCAGUUAUCGUGCCAACGGUAAACGCUGGGUAGCUAUGUAUGGAGAGGAUAACCGCUGAAAGCAUCUAAGUGGGAAGCCCACCUCAAGAUGAG
rnacentral:rRNA from 1 species